rnacentral:rRNA from 1 species
UACGGGGGGAGCAAGCGUUGUUCGGAUUUACUGGGCGUAAAGGGCGCGUAGGCGGUCGUGACAAGUCACUUGUGAAAUCUCCGGGCUUAACUCGGAACGGUCAGCUGAUACUGCUUUGCUAGAGUGCAGAAGGGGCAAUCGGAAUUCUUGGUGUAGCGGUGAAAUGCGUAGAGAUCAGGAAGAACACCGGUGGCGAAGGCGCUCUGCUAGGCCGCAACUGACACUGAGGGACGAAAGCUAGGGGAGCGAAUGGG